rnacentral:rRNA from 1 species
CCUACGGGGGGCAGCAGUGAGGAAUAUUGGUCAAUGGACGCAAGUCUGAACCAGCCAUGCCGCGUGCAGGAAGACGGCUCUAUGAGUUGUAAACUGCUUUUGUACGAGGGUAAACGCAGAUACGCGUAUCUGUCUGAAAGUAUCGUACGAAUAAGGAUCGGCUAACUCCGUGCCAGCAGCCGCGGUAAUACGGAGGAUUCAAGCGUUAUCCGGAUUUAUUGGGUUUAAAGGGUGCGUAGGCGGUCGGAUAAGUUAGAGGUGAAAUUCCGCGGCUCAACUUCGGAAUUGCCUCUGAUACUGUUCGGCUAGAGAGCAGUUGCGGUAGGCGGAAUGUAUGGUGUAGCGGUGAAAUGCUUAGAGAUCAUACAGAACACCGAUUGCGAAGGCAGCUUACCAAGCUACUUCUGACGUUGAGGCACGAAAGUGUGGGGAGCAAACAGGAUUAGAUACCCCGGUAGUC